rfam:Asian citrus Psyllid, Diaphorina citri - Florida Strain, whole genome shotgun sequence.
GCCUAGUUAGCUUGGUUGGUGACGCGUCUGCCUUGUAAGCGCUAGGCCGCGGGUUCGAUUCCCGCCCGGGGCG